UCUACGUAGUAGUAAAAAUCAUGAACAUAAACCCAACAAGCAGAUUCAGAAUGUUGAGGGUGCCCAAUUCACCAGAAUCAGAAUCGUCGACCUCUUUGCACAUAUCAUACGUUCUGGUGAUUCUCGUUGACAGUUAAGAGAGAGAUAUGGCUUCUGUCGGAGAUAAAAGAGGUAGCGAUGGUGCUUCUAAAACGGUUGUAAUCGCUGAAUCUAUGAUGGAAAUUUCUGAAGCACAACUUUAUGAUUAUUAUAGACAGUCCUUAAGCAGUCAGGGAUUCAAAGUUCCGGAGUAUGGAGGUUUAAUACCUGGCGGAAUUGGACCCUAUAGGAUGUAUAAUGAGGAGCGUAAGCAACUUGUGACCGAUUUGGCUAAGCGAUGCUUGAAAUUCUAGAAUGACCAAAAUGUUGUGUCUAUGAUGGUUUUUGCUUUAUUGAGUUUUAUUUAUGUCUAUAAUCUCAUUCACUAAUGAUUAUUUUUAUUGUUGUUAUUACUAUGUAGAGGGCGACUUUUGAGUUUGAUAAGAUUGACACGGUUAAUAGCCAAGCUGUUGCUGGCUAUAUGUAUUACAUUAUUUUUACUGCACGCUCUCGUGAUAAUGCAUCUAAAACCUUUUAUGGCAAAGUAUGGGAAAAAAUAGAUCGUACCAUCGAUGUCAAGUUCUGUGAGAUGGCUACUAAGCAGGAAGCUGGUACAUCUCAGGCCUAAGUUGUGGAAUCUGAGUUUAGGUUCAUGUUCUAGUUGUGUGUUUAUGGUUUCUUCACGAAGGAAAACUCUGAUGCUGUUAUAUAAUUUUAAUACUCAUGAAAUAGUGCAAUGUGUAUUAGCACAAUGA